rnacentral:rRNA from 1 species
AGCGAACGCUGGCGGCAGGCCUAACACAUGCAAGUCGAACGAACUCUUCGGAGUUAGUGGCGGACGGGUGAGUAACACGUGGGAACGUGCCUUUUGGUUCGGAAUAACUCAGGGAAACUUGUGCUAAUACCGAAUGUGCCCUUCGGGGGAAAGAUUUAUCGCCAUUAGAGCGGCCCGCGUCUGAUUAGCUAGUUGGUGAGGUAACGGCUCACCAAGGCGACGAUCAGUAGCUGGUCUGAGAGGAUGACCAGCCACACUGGGACUGAGACACGGCCCAGACUCCUACGGGAGGGAGCAGUGGGGAAUAUUGCGCAAUGGGCGAAAGCCUGACGCAGCCAUGCCGCGUGAAUGAUGAAGGUCUUAGGAUUGUAAAAUUCUUUCACCGGGGACGAUAAUGACGGUACCCGGAGAAGAAGCCCCGGCUAACUUCGUG